rnacentral:rRNA from 1 species
CCCCUAGAUGUUCUGGGCCGCACGCGCGCUACACUGAACAGUUCAACAAGUCUUAACCUUGGCCGAUAGGUCUGGGUAAUCUUUGAACGCUGUUCGUGAUUGGGAUAGACCUUUGCAAUUAUGGGUAUUCAACGAGGAAUUCCUAGUAAACGCAAGUCAUCAGCUUGCAUUGAUUACGUCCCUGCCCUUUGUACACACCGCCCGUCGCACCUACCGAUUGAAUGGUCCGGUGAAAUCUCGGGACGGCGGCUUGGUCGCUUGCGUCCGACUGCUGAAACUUGAUUAAACCAUAUCAUUUAGAGGAAGGUGAAGUCGUAACA